UGUUUUUUAAUACUUUUGCGGAUGAGAUGCAAUUACCCACAGACCCUCAGGACAUGACCUCCACUUUGGGGAAGAGACUAAUUCGCAUUAGUAGAAUACAUAGAACUGUCUAAGGUGAGGGUGUGGCCUUGAACUUCCGAGAGGCAGACUAGGUGGAGUCCCGGAGAGGAGGGUGUGGCCUUUGAUUUGUUCCACAGAUGGCUUUAGAUAUUCUGAGGAAGAGUUGGCAUCAAGAGGAGGCGAAGCUCAGAUAAUCUGCCAGCACCCGAAGGAGGACCCACAGGGUGAACAAAUGUAGCUGGACCAGAAGAAGUAAUGCUGAUAAGUCCCUACAGCGAUUUGCAAGAAUCUUGGCUACUUCACUCAUCCCAAGAAGGUCUCAAGGGGUCAUGAUAUCAGCUAAUACCUACAAGGUCCU
rnacentral:lncRNA from 1 species